rnacentral:rRNA from 1 species
GAUGAACGCUGGCGGCGUGCCUAAUACAUGCAAGUCGAGCGAUCAGACGCGGUGCUUGCUCCUCUGACGUGAGCGGCGGACGGGUGAGUAACACGUGGAUAACCUCCCUAUCACUCUGGGUUAACUUCGGGAAACCGGAGCUAAUACUGGAUGAUAUAUUGAACCGCAUGCUUCAUUAGUGAGAGACGGUUUUUCUUUCACUUAUGGAUGGAUUCGCGCCGCAUUAGCUAGUUGGUAGGGUGAUGGCUUACCAAGGCAGCGAGGCGUAGCCGGCCUGAGAGGGUGAUCGGACACACUGAAAGUGAGAGACAGUCCGGACUCAUACGGGAGGGAGCAGGCGGUGAGCUUCAGCGAUGGGCGAGAGCCAGACGGAGCAACGCCGCGUGAGUGAUGAAGGUCUUCGGUUCGGAAAACUCUGUUAUUAGGGAGUAACGAAUGUGUAAGUAACUAUGCACGUCUUGACGGUACCUAAUCAGAGAGCCGCGGCUAACUUCGUG